GACCUCCUGGGAUCGUGUCUGGAGAGUGCUUAGUGUUCUGCCAGCUUCACAAAGUGAGGGAAAGCAAGCCUGGCAAGGCACCCUUUCCAUUCCCAGCUUGCUCAGUAGCUGGUGAUUGGAAGACACUCUGUGACAGUG
rnacentral:snoRNA from 1 species